AUUGAACGCUGGCGGCAGGCCUAACACAUGCAAGUCGAACGAGUGGAGGACGGGUGAGUAAUGUCUGGGAAACUGCCUGAUGGAGGGGGAUACCUACUGGAAAAGGUCGCUAAUACCGCAUACCAUGGGAGGGGCCCAUAUGUGAUUAGCUAGUAGGGGGGGUAAAGGGUCACCUGGGCGACGAUCCCUAGCUGGUCUGAGAGGAUGACCAUCCACACUGGAUCGUGGACCCGGUCCAGACUCCUACGGGAGGCAGCAGUGGGGAAUCUUGCACAAUGGGCGCAAGCCUGAUGCAGCCAUGCCGCGUGUAUGAUGAAGGCCUUCGGGUUGUAAAGUCCUUUCAGCGGGGAGGCGUUACCCGCAGAAGAAGCACCGGCUAACUCCGUGCCAGCAGCCGCGGUAAUUC
rnacentral:rRNA from 1 species